rnacentral:rRNA from 1 species
UACGAAGGGGGCUAGCGUUGUUCGGAAUUACUGGGCGUAAAGCGCACGUAGGCGGAUAUUUAAGUCAGGGGUGAAAUCCCAGAGCUCAACUCUGGAACUGCCUUUGAUACUGGGUAUCUAGAGUAUGGAAGAGGUGAGUGGAAUUCCGAGUGUAGAGGUGAAAUUCGUAGAUAUGGGGAGGAACACCGGUGGCGAAGGCGAGCUCUCUGGGACGGUACUGACGCUGAGACGCGAAAGCGUGGGUAGCGAAUGGG